rnacentral:rRNA from 1 species
AUUGAACGCUGGCGGAAUGCUUUACACAUGCAAGUCGAACGGCAGCACGGACUUCGGUCUGGUGGCGAGUGGCGAACGGGUGAGUAAUGUAUCGGAACGUGCCCAGUCGUGGGGGAUAACGUAGUGAAAAUUACGCUAAUACCGCAUACGAUCUAUGGAUGAAAGCGGGGGAUCGCAAGACCUCGCGCGAUUGGAGCGGCCGAUAUCAGAUUAGGUAGUUGGUGGGGUAAAGGCACACCAAGCCAACGAUCUGUAGCUGGUCUGAGAGGACGACCAGCCACACUGGAACUGAGACACGGUCCAGACUCGUACGUGAGGCAGCAGUGGGGAAUUUUGGACAAUGGGCGAAAGCCUGAUCCAGCCAUUCCGCGUGCAGGAUGAAGGCCCUCGGGUUGUAAACUGCUUUUGUACAGAACGAAAAGGUUUCUACUAAUACUAGGAGCUCAUGACGGUACUGUAAGAAUAAGCACCGGCUAACUACGUGCCAGCAGCCGCAGUAA